AGGGAAUCUUCCGCAAUGGGCGAAAGCCUGACGGAGCAACGCCGCGUGAGUGAAGAAGGAUUUCGGUUCGUAAAGCUCUGUUGUUAGGGAAGAAUGAUCGUGUAGUAACUAUACACAGUAGAGACGGUACCUAACCAGAAAGCCACGGCUAACUACGUGCCAGCAGCCGCGGUAAUACGUAGGUGGCAAGCGUUGUCCGGAAUUAUUGGGCGUAAAGCGCGCGCAGGUGGUUUAAUAAGUCUGAUGUGAAAGCCCACGGCUCAACCGUGGAGGGUCAUUGGAAACUGUUAAACUUGAGUGCAGGAGAGAAAAGUGGAAUUCCUAGUGUAGCGGUGAAAUGCGUAGAGAUUAGGAGGAACACCAGUGGCGAAGGCGGCUUUUUGGCCUGUAACUGACACUGAGGCGCGAAAGCGUGGGGAGCAAACAGGAUUAGAUACCCUGGUAGUCCACGCCGUAAACGAUGAGUGCUAAGUGUUGGUCUCAUAAGAGAUCAGUGCUGCAGCUAACGCAUUAAGCACUCCGCCUGGGGAGUACGACCGCAAGGUUG
rnacentral:rRNA from 1 species